rnacentral:rRNA from 1 species
CGAGGACGACGCUGGCGGCGUGCCUAACACAUGCAAGUCGAGCGGGGACAUGCGACGGAUCGGAAGUUUUCGGAUGGAAGAGAAGAUGUAUGUUCUAGCGGCGGACGGGUGAGUAACGCGUGAACAAUCUGUCCUUCACAGGGGGAUAACACAGCGAAAGUUGUACUAAUACCGCAUGAGACCACGGUAGGGCAUCCUACAGGGGUCAAAGGAGCAAUCCGGUGAAGGGUGAGUUCGCGUCCGAUUAGAUAGUUGGUGAGGUAACGGCCCACCAAGUCGACGAUCGGUAGCCGACCUGAGAGGGUGAUCGGCCACAUUGGGACUGAGACACGGCCCAAACUCCUACGGGAGGCAGCAGUGGGGAAUAUUGGGCAAUGGGGGAAACCCUGACCCAGCAACGCCGCGUGAGGGAAGAGGGUUUUCGGAUCGUAAACCUCUGUCCUUGGUGAAGAGGAAGAGACGGUAGCCAAGGAGGAAGCCCCGGCUAACUACGUGCCAGCCGCGGC